AUUGAACGCUGGCGGCAUGCCUAACACAUGCAAGUCGAACGGAGGUAGGGGCAACUCUACUUCAGUGGCGGACGGGUGAGGAAUGCGUCGGAAUCUACCCUAUGGUGGGGGAUAACACAGGGAAACUUGUGCUAAUACCGCAUGAUGUCGAGAGACCAAAGCAGGGGACCGCAAGGCCUUGCGCGAUAGGAUGAGCCGACGCCCGAUUAGCUAGUUGGUAGGGUAAUGGCCUACCAAGGCGACGAUCGGUAGCUGGUCUGAGAGGAUGAUCAGCCACACUGGGACUGAGACACGGCCCAGACUCCUACGGGAGGCAGCAGUGGGGAAUAUUGGACAAUGGGCGCAAGCCUGAUCCAGCAAUGCCGCGUGUGUGAAGAAGGCCUGCGGGUUGUAAAGCACUUUUGUUCGGGAAGAAAACGGAUCGGUUAAUACCCGGUUCGGAUGACGGUACCGAAAGAAUAAGCACCGGCUAACUUCGUGCCAGCAGCCG
rnacentral:rRNA from 1 species